rnacentral:rRNA from 1 species
CCUACGGGCGGCAGCAGUGGGGAAUAUUGCACAAUGGGGGAAACCCUGAUGCAGCGACGCCGCGUGAGUGAAGAAGUAUUUCGGUACGUAAAGCUCUAUCAGCAGGGAAGAAAAUGACGGUACCUGACUAAGAAGCCCCGGCUAACUACGUGCCAGCAGCCGCGGUAAUACGUAGGGGGCAAGCGUUAUCCGGAUUUACUGGGUGUAAAGGGAGCGUAGACGGCAGCGCAAGUCUGGAGUGAAAUCCCAUGGCUUAACCAUGGAACUGCUUUGGAAACUGUGCAGCUAGAGUGCAGGAGAGGUAAGCGGAAUUCCUAGUGGAGCGGUGAAAUGCGUAGAUAUUAGGAGGAACACCAGUGGCGAAGGCGGCUUACUGGACUGUAACUGACGUUGAGGCUCGAAAGCGUGGGGAGCAAACAGGAUUAGAUACCCCAGUAGUC